rnacentral:rRNA from 2 species
UAAUACAUGCAAGUCGAACGAACUCUGGUAUUGAUUGGUGCUUGCAUCAUGAUUUACAUUUGAGUGAGUGGCGAACUGGUGAGUAACACGUGGGAAACCUGCCCAGAAGCGGGGGAUAACACCUGGAAACAGAUGCUAAUACCGCAUAACAACUUGGACCGCAUGGUCCGAGUUUGAAAGAUGGCUUCGGCUAUCACUUUUGGAUGGUCCCGCGGCGUAUUAGCUAGAUGGUGGGGUAACGGCUCACCAUGGCAAUGAUACGUAGCCGACCUGAGAGGGUAAUCGGCCACAUUGGGACUGAGACACGGCCCAAACUCCUACGGGAGGCAGCAGUAGGGAAUCUUCCACAAUGGACGAAAGUCUGAUGGAGCAACGCCGCGUGAGUGAAGAAGGGUUUCGGCUCGUAAAACUCUGUUGUUAAAGAAGAACAUAUCUGAGAGUAACUGUUCAGGUAUUGACGGUAUUUAACCAGAAAGCCACGGCUAACUACGUGCCAGCAGCCGCGGUAAUACGUAGGUGGCAAGCGUUGUCCGGAUUUAUUGGGCGUAAAGCGAGCGCAGGCGGUUUUUUAAGUCUGAUGUGAAAGCCUUCGGCUCAACCGAAGAAGUGCAUCGGAAACUGGGAAACUUGAGUGCAGAAGAGGACAGUGGAACUCCAUGUGUAGCGGUGAAAUGCGUAGAUAUAUGGAAGAACACCAGUGGCGAAGGCGGCUGUCUGGUCUGUAACUGACGCUGAGGCUCGAAAGUAUGGGUAGCAAACAGGAUUAGAUACCCUGGUAGUCCAUACCGUAAACGAUGAAUGCUAAGUGUUGGAGGGUUUCCGCCCUUCAGUGCUGCAGCUAACGCAUUAAGCAUUCCGCCUGGGGAGUACGGCCGCAAGGCUGAAACUCAAAGGAAUUGACGGGGGCCCGCACAAGCGGUGGAGCAUGUGGUUUAAUUCGAAGCUACGCGAAGAACCUUACCAGGUCUUGACAUACUAUGCAAAUCUAAGAGAUUAGACGUUCCCUUCGGGGACAUGGAUACAGGUGGUGCAUGGUUGUCGUCAGCUCGUGUCGUGAGAUGUUGGGUUAAGUCCCGCAACGAGCGCAACCCUUAUUAUCAGUUGCCAGCAUUAAGUUGGGCACUCUGGUGAGACUGCCGGUGACAAACCGGAGGAAGGUGGGGAUGACGUCAAAUCAUCAUGCCCCUUAUGACCUGGGCUACACACGUGCUACAAUGGAUGGUACAACGAGUUGCGAACUCGCGAGAGUAAGCUAAUCUCUUAAAGCCAUUCUCAGUUCGGAUUGUAGGCUGCAACUCGCCUACAUGAAGUCGGAAUCGCUAGUAAUCGCGGAUCAGCAUGCCGCGGUGAAUACGUUCCCGGGCCUUGUACACACCGCCCGUCACACCAUGAGAGUUUGUAACACCCAAAGUCGGUGGGGUAACCUUUUAGGAACCAGCCGCCUAAGGUGGGACAGA